GGAGAGGUGCCGGAGUGGUCGAACGGGGCGGUCUCGAAAACCGUUGAGCCUUUACGGGUUCCCAGGGUUCGAAUCCCUGUCUCUCCGCCA
rnacentral:tRNA from 9 species